rnacentral:rRNA from 1 species
AGAGUUUGAUCCUGGCUCAGAUUGAACGCUGGCGGCGUGCUUAACACAUGCAAGUCGUGCGAGAAAGGGGGCUUCGGUCCCUGAGUAGAGCGGCGCACGGGUGAGUAGCGCGUGGAUAAUCUCCCCAGAAGUUCGGGAUAACGGCGGGAAACUGCCGCUAAUACCGGAUACGCUCCAAUUUCGGUUGGGGGAAAGGCGGCCUCUGUUUACAAGCUGUCGCUUCUGGAUGAGUCCGCGUCCCAUUAGCUUGUUGGUGGGGUAAUGGCCUACCAAGGCUACGAUGGGUAGCUGGUCUGAGAGGAUGAUCAGCCACACUGGAACUGAAGCACGGUCCAGACUCCUACGGGAGGCAGCAGUGGGAAUAUUGCGCAAUGGGGGAAACCCUGA